rnacentral:snRNA from 1 species
UUCACCAAGUGUUGGAUUGUUC